rnacentral:rRNA from 1 species
GAUGAACGCUGGCGGCGUGCCUAACACAUGCAAGUCGAACGAAGACCCCGAAGCGGAGAUCUCGAUCAAAGUGGAGGGAGGACUGAGUGGCGGACGGGUGAGUAACGCGUGGAUAACCUGCCCCAUACAGGGGGAUAGCAGUUGGAAACGACUGGUAAUACCGCAUGAGCGCACGGUAAGGCAUCUUACAGUGUGAAAAGAUUAAUCGGGUGGAGAUGGAUCCGCGUCUGAUUAGCCAGUUGGCGGGGCAACGGCCCACCAAAGCGACGAUCAGUAGCCGGCCUGAGAGGGCGGACGGCCACAUUGGGACUGAGACACGGCCCAGACUCC